AUGGGACAAGGUAUGAGGAGGAAGGGGGAGAGACCACAGAGCCACCAAGAUUUUGAUGAAUUUCAGUGAGCGCGCCAUAGUAGACCAAGCUGCUACACCUUUCACGUUAAAGGAAGUGAAGAAAGGGGAUGAACUUGACCUCAGGAGGGAGACAAGCAUCGGGAAAACAGAUGAAGACACAAACUCCUCCAGAAAGCAGUCAACUUAAAGAAGUUGGGAAAAAAUAAAUAAAUACAUGACAGUGGGAGGCCUUUCCCAGCAUAGCAUCCUUGUUGGGAACUCUAUUGUAGGGUGAAUGCCUGGUUGUUAUGGAAUUUAAGUUUGAGGCCUAUUAUUCAUAUGCAAAAAAAUUAAUAAAAAAUCGGUGUCCAUGCACUAGAACCAUUAGAAAUUAAAAUGGGAAGAGAUCAAAUUCAACAUAGUUAAGUCACAUAAAGCUUAAAGAUGGCAACAGACCUUGAAAGUGAUCUCAUCCUGAGGAUGUCUGCACGCUUCCACAUGCUCUAUGAUUCUUAUCCAUCUCCUUCUAUAAAUCUUUUAUAAAGCAUCUACCCAGCUUGCCACUCACCACGCCAAAGGCUCUCUUCUGCU